rnacentral:lncRNA from 1 species
CUCCUCCUAAGAAGUCUCCACCGCCUCCAUACCAUUACUCGUCGCCGCCUCCUCCUAAGAAAUCCCCGCCACCUUCAUACCAUUACAGUUCUCCUCCUCCUCCUCCUAAGAAAUCUCCACCACCACCAUACCAUUAUAGUUCUCCUCCCCCUCCAGUGAAAUCUCCACCGCCUCCAUACCAUUACUCGUCACCACCUCCUCCUAAGAAGUCUCAUCCGCCACCAUAUCAUUACUCGUCUCCUCCCCCUCCAGUGAAAUCUCCACUGCCUCCAUAUCACUACUCAUCGCCUCCUCCUCCUCCUAAAAAGUCUCCACCGCCUCCAUACCAUUACUCUUCAACUCCUCCUCCCAAGAAAUCUCCUCCACCAUCAUACCACUACUCGUCGCCUCCUCCUCCAGUGAAAUCUCCCCCACUUCUAUACCAUUACUCUUCCCCUCCGCCUCCCAAGAAGUCCCCCCCACCACCAUACCACUACUCCUCACCUCCUCCUCCGGUAAAGUCUCCACCGCCUCCAUACCACUACUCGUCACCUCCAUCACCCAAGAAGUCCCCCCCACCACCAUACCACUACUCAUCGCCUCCUCCUCCGGUUAAGUCUCCCCCACCACCGUACCACUACUCAUCACCACCUCCUCCCAAGAGGUCUCCUCCGCCACCGUAUCACUACUCGUCACCACCUCCUCUCAAAAAGUCUCAUCCGCCACCAUACCAUUACACAUCACCUCCAC